rnacentral:rRNA from 1 species
GUGGGGAAUUUUGGACAAUGGGCGAAAGCCUGAUCCAGCCAUGCCGCGUGCAGGAUGAAGGCCUUCGGGUUGUAAACUGCUUUUGUACGGAACGAAAAGACUCCUUCUAAUAAAGGGGGUCCAUGACGGUACCGUAAGAAUAAGCACCGGCUAACUACGUGCCAGCAGCCGCGGUAAUACGUAGGGUGCAAGCGUUAAUCGGAAUUACUGGGCGUAAAGCGUGCGCAGGCGGUUAUAUAAGACAGAUGUGAAAUCCCCGGGCUCAACCUGGGAACUGCAUGUGUGACUGUAUAGCUAGAGUACGGUAGAGGGGGAUGGAAUUCCGCGUGUAGCAGUGAAAUGCGUAGAUAUGCGGAGGAACACCGAUGGCGAAGGCAAUCCCCUGGACCUGUACUGACGCUCAUGCACGAAAGCGUGGGGAGCAAACAGGAUUAGAAACCCGGGUAGUCC